UGGGGAAUAUUGCACAAUGGGCGGAAGCCUGAUGCAGCGACGCCGCGUGAGGGAUGACGGCCUUCGGGUUGUAAACCUCUUUCAGCAGGGAAGAAGCGCAAGUGACGGUACCUGCAGAAGAAGCACCGGCUAACUACGUGCCAGCAGCCGCGGUAAUACGUAGGGUGCGAGCGUUGUCCGGAAUUAUUGGGCGUAAAGAGCUUGUAGGUGGUUUGUCGCGUCUGCUGUGAAAAUCCGAGGCUCAACCUCGGACUUGCAGUGGGUACGGGCAGACUAGAGUGUGGUAGGGGAGACUGGAAUUCCUGGUGUAGCGGUGGAAUGCGCAGAUAUCAGGAGGAACACAGAUGGCGAAGGCAGGUCUCUGGGCCAUUACUGACACUGAGAAGCGAAAGCAUGGGGAGCGAACA
rnacentral:rRNA from 1 species